rnacentral:misc_RNA from 1 species
AAUAGUUCGUACCUGGAAAAAGUAAAGGGAGAAUCAUCAAUUUGAAGGACAAUCCAGAUGUAAGCUUUCAGGUGCAAUAAUAAGAUACCAUUAAACAUUAUAUUCAGAUCAAUGCGAAUAUAAUUUAACAACCCACAUUAAAACCAUAGCAGAAUCCGAGGUUAAGUUCUUUAUGCAUUUACCCGCUUACAAGCCAAAAGAGUAUUUACGCUUUCAAGUUUUUUUGUUUCUUUUCCCUUAUUCUACUGUUGACUUUUCCAGAAUCAAUCAAAAUGUUGAUUGUCGCAUAGAAAAUGAGUCAAUCCAGGAAAUAGAAUUUCUAUCACAUGCAAAGAGCAACAGACUGGAAAACAGUUAAAUAAAUGAAAUUUGAUUUCUUAUUUCUGCUGUGUCAUAUUUUGUCAUCGACAUGGCUUAACCUUUAAAUGUGUCACGUAAAUCUUGUUGGUUGCAAUAUUAACAAUCAUUCUUUCUUGCUUUCACACUCAGGCAAAGUUCUGACAUGUAAAAUGGCAAUCACAGAAUUGAGAGAAUAAAGUAAUUCAAGAACCUUGUCAAGGUAUUCCUGCAGU